rnacentral:rRNA from 1 species
UACGUAGGGUGCGAGCGUUGUCCGGAAUUACUGGGCGUAAAGAGCUCGUAGGUGGUUUGUCGCGUUGUUCGUGAAAUCUCACGGCUUAACUGUGAGCGUGCGGGCGAUACGGGCAGACUAGAGUACUGCAGGGGAGACUGGAAUUCCUGGUGUAGCGGUGGAAUGCGCAGAUAUCAGGAGGAACACCGGUGGCGAAGGCGGGUCUCUGGGCAGUAACUGACACUGAGGAGCGAAAGCUAGGGGAGCGAAUGGG